UACAGAGGGUGCGAGCGUUGUCCGGAAUCACUGGGCGUAAAGGGCGCGUAGGCGGUCUGGUAAGCGUGUGGUGAAAGCCCGGGGCUCAACCCCGGGUCGGCCGUGCGAACUGCUGGACUGGAGCAGAUCAGAGGCAGGCGGAAUUCCGGGUGUAGCGGUGGAAUGCGUAGAGAUCCGGAAGAACACCGGUGGCGAAGGCGGCCUGCUGGGAUCUUGCUGACGCUGAGGCGCGACAGCGUGGGGAGCAAACAGG
rnacentral:rRNA from 1 species